rnacentral:rRNA from 1 species
UGGGGAAUUUUGCACAAUGGGGGAAACCCUGAUGCAGCGACGCCGCGUGAUUUAGAAGGCCUUCGGGUUGUAAAAAUCUUUUUUACGGGAUGAAAAUGACAGUACCGUAAGAAUAAGGUCCGGCUAAAUACGUGCCAGCAGCCGCGGUAAUACGUAUGGACCGACCGUUGUCCGGAAUCAUUGGGCGUAAAGGGUACGUAGGCGGCCUAGUCAGUUAGAAGUGAAAUAAUAUAGCUCAACUAUAUAAAGCUUUUAAAACUGAUAGGCUUGACUGAUGGAAAGGAAAGUGAAAUUCCUAGGGUAGCGGUGAAGUGCGCAGAUAUUAGGAAGAAUGCAAGUGGCGAAGGCGACUUUCUGGUCAUCAUCUGACGCUGAGCUACGAAAGCGUGGAUAGCAAACAGG